rnacentral:lncRNA from 1 species
GAUAGUUUGAAUGCUUCAGUUUUCAAAAACAGAAAAAAAUUCCCUAUACAGGCCCAGGUACCCAUCGCUUCUCUGUGUGCUGGAAGAACUACAAAGAAUGAGAUGAGUCAUUGGUGUUUGGACAAUGUCUCCACCUAGAAACAAAGAUGAAGACUAUUACAUUUUAAAACACACAUUUCCUUCACUGGAUGCUUUAUGCAGAAAAGCUGAGCCUGCAGGAUAUGAACCAGAUGGAGAAAAAGUUUGUGAAGAACUCACUAGUGCCGUACUGCUGAGAUGGUUAGGAGAUUGGAGCACAUGAUAAGUGUGGAUAUGCAAAC